rnacentral:rRNA from 1 species
AUUGAACGCUGGCGGCAUGCCUUACACAUGCAAGUCGAACGGCAGCACGGGAGCAAUCCUGGUGGCGAGUGGCGAACGGGUGAGUAAAGUAUCGGAACGUGCCCAGUCGUGGGGGAUAACGUAGCGAAAGUUACGCUAAUACCGCAUACGAUCUAUGGAUGAAAGCGGGGGGUCGCAAGACCUCGCGGGAUUGCAGCGGCCGACAUCAGAUUAGGUAGUUGGUGGGGUAAAGGCUCACCAAGCCGACGGUCGGUAGCUGGUCUGAGAGGACGACCAGCCACACUGGGACUGAGACACGGCCCAGACUCCUACGGGAGGCAGCAGUGGGGAAUUUUGGACAAUGGGCGAAAGCCUGAUCCAGCCAUGCCGCGUGCAGGAUGAAGGCCUUCGGGUUGUAAACUGCUUUUGUACGGAACGAAAAGGUUUGGCCUAAUAAGCUGAGCUCAUGACGGUACCGUAAGAAUAAGCACCGGCUAACUACGUGCCAGCCGCCGCCGUAA